rnacentral:rRNA from 1 species
UACCAGCACCCCGAGUGGUCGGGACGAUUAUUGGGCCUAAAGCAUCCGUAGCCGGUUCUACAAGUCUUCCGUUAAAUCCACCUGCUUAACAGAUGGGCUGCGGAGGAUACUAUAGAGCUAGGAGGCGGGAGAGGCAAGCGGUACUUAGUGGGUAGGGGUAAAAUCCGUUGAUCCAUUGAAGACCACCAGUGGCGAAGGCGGCUUGCCAGAACGCACUCGACGGUGUGGGAUGAAAGCUGGGGGAGCAAACCGG